GAAUGAGCGCCGCUGCCUGCACACGCGGCCAACUGGGGAAACCACGAAGCUUUGAGGCCUGUAUUAUGGUGAGCUAGAAGGUUCAUGGGUUUUCAUAUGGGUUUCAUCAUUUCUGUCCUCACCAUGACGAGUCAUGAUCCCAUAUUCCCCACUGCUGGGACAGCAUAGUGAAGUAGCCUGUCGUAUUGCUUCUCAAUGUACUUGGCACCAGUCACCAUGAAAGCUCACGGAAAGGAUAUACGUACAGCAUAUACAGCAGCCUCUACUUGUGGAACAAGACGUAACACUUGAACAUGCGUUCGACAUGACCCUCCUGUGAAAUCUGCAGCCAACCAUGCAGCGAGUGCAAUUAUGGACUUGUGACAAUGCGACACCACAUGAGGUUUCUAGGAACUGACAAGUGUCACAACCCCGGUGUUAAGGAAACACCUAUUUGUCUGCAAAAAAUAACUCUCCUGUCCAAGGAUGUGCAAAAUGGGAGCUCUGUAUUACAGUGGAGAGUGGCAUUACAUGGGGAGCUUUUGUUAAAAGCAAAUAGCAGACUUAGUACAGAAAUUGGAACAUCAAUCUAAAAAAGACAGGUGACAAUAAUGAAAAAAAAAAAAAAAAUGCAGCUAAAUACUGUGACAUUCUGUCCGUAACAAAA